rnacentral:rRNA from 1 species
GGCGCACGGGGCGUAACGCGUAUGCAACCUACCUUUCACAGGGGGAUAGCCCGAAGAAAUUUGGAUUAAUACCCCAUAAUAUUAUUGGAUGGCAUCAUUUGAUAAUUAAAACUGCGGUGGUGAAAGAUGGGCAUGCGUCCUAUUAGCUAGUUGGAGUGGUAACGGCACCCCAAGGCUACGAUAGGUAGGGGUCCUGAGAGGGAGAUCCCCCACACUGGUACUGAGACAGGGACCAGACUCCUACGGGAGGCAGCAGUGAGGAAUAUUGGUCAAUGGUCGGAAGACUGAACCAGCCAUGCCGCGUGCAGGAAGAAUGCCUUAUGGGUUGUAAACUGCUUUUAUAUGGGAAGAAUAAGGCGUACGUGUACGUUGAUGACGGUACCAUAUGAAUAAGCAUCGGCUAACUCCGUGCCAGCAGCCGCGGUAAUACGGAGGAUGCGAGCGUUAUUCGGAAUCAUUGGGUUUAAAGGGUCUGUAGGCGGGCUAUUAAGUCAGGGGUGAAAGGUUUCAGCUUAACUGAGAAAUUGCCUUUGAUACUGGUAGUCUUGAAUAUCUGUGAAGUUCUUGGAAUGUGUAGUGUAGCGGUGAAAUGCUUAGAUAUUACACAGAACACCGAUUGCGAAGGCAGGGGACUAACAGACAAUUGACGCUGAGAGACGAAAGCGUGGGGAGCGAACAGGAUUAGAUACCCUGGUAGUCCACGCUGUAAACGAUGGAUACUAGCUGUUUGGCGCAAGCUGAGUGGCUAAGCGAAAGUGAUAAGUAUCCCGCCUGGGGGAGUACCCGCGCAAGUG